rnacentral:rRNA from 1 species
GACGAACGCUGGCGGCGUGCUUAACACAUGCAAGUCGAACGGAAAGGCCCUGCUUUUGUGGGGUGCUCGAGUGGCGAACGGGUGAGUAACACGUGAGUAACCUGCCCAUGACUUUGGGAUAACUUCAGGAAACUGGGGCUAAUACCGGAUAGGAGCUCCUGCUGCAUGGUGGGGGUUGGAAAGUUUCGGCGGUUGGGGAUGGACUCGCGGCUUAUCAGCUUGUUGGUGGGGUAGUGGCUUACCAAGGCUUUGACGGGUAGCCGGCCUGAGGGGGUGACCGGCCACAUUGGGACUGAGAUACGGCCCAGACUCCUACGGGAGGCAGCAGUGGGGAAUAUUGCACAAUGGGCGGAAGCCUGAUGCAGCAACGCCGCGUGCGGGAUGACGGCCUUCGGGUUGUAAACCGCUUUCGCCUGUGACGAAGCGUGAGUGACGGUAAUGGGUAAAGAAGCACCGGCUAACUACGUG